rnacentral:rRNA from 1 species
UAAAGGAAUUGGCGGGGGAGCACCGCAACGGGAGGAGCGUGCGGUUUAAUUGGAUUCAACACCGGAAAACUCACCAGGAGCGACGGUUACAUGAAAGUCAGGCUGAUGACCUUACUCGAUUUUCCGAGAGGUGGUGCAUGGCCGUCGUCAGUUCGUACCGUAAGGCGUUCUCUUAAGUGAGAUAACGAACGAGACCCUCACCAAUAGUUGCUACCGUAUCUUCCGAGGUGCGGGCACACUAUUGGGACCGCUGGCGCUAAGUCAGAGGAAGGAGAGGUCAACGGUAGGUCAGUAUGCCCCGAAUCUCCUGGGCUACACGCGCGCUACAAAGGGCGGGACAAUGGGCUCCGACACCGAAAGGUGAAGGUAAUCUCGAAACCCGUCCGUAGUUCGGAUUGAGGGUUGUAACUCACCCUCAUGAAGCUGGAUUCCGUAGUAAUCGCGAAUCAACAACUCGCGGUGAAUAUGCCCCUGCUCCUUGCACACACCGGCCA